UACAGAGGGUGCAAGCGUUAAUCGGAAUUACUGGGCGUAAAGCGUGCGUAGACGGUUAUGUAAGUCGGGUGUGAAAGCCCCGGGCUCAACCUGGGAAUGCCAUUCGAGACUGCAUAGCUAGGGUGCGGAAGAGGGAAGCGGAAUUUCCGGUGUAGCGGUGAAAUGCGUAGAUAUCGGAAGGAACACCGGUGGCGAAGGCGGGUCUCUGGGCAGUAACUGACGCUGAGGAGCGAAAGCGUGGGGAGCGAACAGG
rnacentral:rRNA from 1 species